AUUGAACGCUGGCGGCAGGCCUAACACAUGCAAGUCGAACGAGUGGCGGACGGGUGAGUAAUGUCUGGGAAACUGCCUGAUGGAGGGGGAUAACUACUGGAAACGGUAGCUAAUACCGCAUACCAUCGAAUGUGCCCAGAUGGGAUUAGAUAGUAGGUGGGGUAAAGGCUCACCUCGGCGACGAUCCCGAGCUGGUCUGAGAGGAUGACCAGCCACACUGAAAAUGCGACACGGUCCAGACUCCUACGGGAGGCAGCAGUUGGGAAUAUUGCACAAUGGGCGCAGGCCUGAUGCAGCGCUGCCGCGUGUAUGAAGAAGGCCUUCGGGUUGUACAGUACUUUCAGCGGGUAGGCGUUACCCUCAGAAGAAGCACCGGCUAACUCCGUGCCAGCAGCCGCGGUAAUAC
rnacentral:rRNA from 1 species